AUUCGGCUGAAUGACAUCAUAUAUUUGGAAUGCUCAGCCAUCAGAAAAAAUGAAGGAUGCAUAUGCGAAAGACCAGAAGAUAAUGAUGUAUGCAACUUCUCCUUUGUCUUCGUACAUCGAUUUACACAUCUGCUUGCUGUUCUCCAAGUUCCAAGUUCUUAUGACAAGCUUAGGUGCUGGGUCUUAAGAAAAGGGCAAUCACGAUAGGAGUAUAGAAAUGGAAA